AUACUUAAAUGGCAGGGAAAAUACCACAAUCAAGAGGGUGGUUUUCCCAGGAUGAAGCUCUUCCAUUGUAAUUUUCUAUUGGGUUAGACCCCUGUGAUUUCCCCAUAUGUGGGAAACUCAACUGCAUACGUUAUGAUAGUGGGGGACCGCGUUCAUGCAGUCCUCUA